rnacentral:rRNA from 1 species
UUUAGAGUUUGAUCCAUGGCUCAGGACGAACGCUGGCGGCGUGCCUAACACAUGCAAGUCGUGCGGACCUGGGUGGGGCAACUCAUCCAGGUUAGCGGCGAACGGGUGAGUAACACGUGAGCAACCUACCCAGGGGAGGGGGACAACCCGGGGAAACCUGGGCUAAUACCCCAUGAGGCAGCGGCCCCGCAUGGGGCCAGUGUGAAAGGAGGCCUCUGCGCAAGCAAGCCUCCGCCUCUGGAUGGGCUCGCGGCCUAUCAGCUCGUUGGUGAGGUAACGGCUCACCAAGGCGAUGACGGGUAGCUGGCGUGAGAGCGCGACCAGCCACACCGGCACUGAGACACGGGCCGGACUCCUACGGGAGGCAGCAGUGGGGAAUCUUGCGCAGUGGGCGCAAGCCUGACGCAGCGACGCCGUGUGCGGGAGGAAGCCCUUCGGGGUGUAAACCGCUGCCAGGGGGGAAGAAAAUACUGGGGUCGAACAGGCCCUCGGUAUUGACGUACCCCCAGAGAAGUCCGCAU